GACAUAGCUAAAGGGUGGCAUAUGAAAAACGCGCAAGUAUUUCUUUUUUAAUACACAACUCGCUUGAUUGUGACACGUUGUACUCCGUUUCGUAUCAGAUGAGAAAGGCAGUUAGCUAAGAAGAGAGUAAGGGGAAACACUACCAAUAUCUGUUUUUUGGCCUUGAUUGUCGUCACUGCCUUCCUUCUUUAACCAUAAACCAAAAAAGGGAAAAUUCUAGAAAUAUUUUCUCUGUUUUGUUAAUAAAUAACCGACCGGUUCAUCCUCGGGCACCACAUUGUAUCCAUCAUCCUCUAAUAAAUCCUCUGUAGACAUAUUGUGUUAUUAAACUAUUUUUUCUUAACGUUUUAAACUAUAAAAAUUCUCAAAAAAAACGAAAUAAACAAAAUGAUCGCGAAGUCUGCUCUGUGGCUCAAAUCAAUGUUAAAA